AAAGGACAUUCCACCCCCCACCUACUGAAUGAUUCACAAAGAGGCUCCUUUCUCUACCUCCUUACCUCCCUUAGGAUGCUUUCUUUAUCGAGAAAAAAGCAAUCGAGUUCUGCAAAUCUUCCGAAUUAAUCCAUGGUUAUCUUCUCCUCCUCCUCCUCACUGGAUCUCUCCCAUAUACAGUCUUUUGUCGCUAGACGCAGAAAGUACUGAUGGAAAGGAAUGCAGAAUUGGUUAAAGGGGUCUGCAACCUUAAACUCUCAAAGAGCCAUUUGGACCCGUUUCCCACAGAAAAGAAAACAUCGGGAGCCACAAAACCCUUCCCGUGCCUGACUAUUUCUUGAGCAGCCACAAAACUAGCCUAUGUAGUUGAA